AGGGAAAGGUGAAUCAUCGAAUCUUUGAACGCACAUUGCGCCUGGCAGUAUUCUGCCAGGCAUGCCUGUCCGAGCGUCAUUUCACCACUCAAGCUCUGCUUGGUGUUGGAGGACCCGCGUUUAGUCGCGGGCCGCCGAAAUGCAUCGGCUGUUGUAUAUACAGCUUCCCUGUGUAGUAAAUGCUUAGCUUUACACUUUGAAACUUUUAUAUAACAUGCCGAAAAACCCUCAACUUUUGAAAGGUUGACCUCGGAUCAGGUAGGAAUACCCGCUGAACUUAAGCAUAUCAAUAAGCGGAGG
rnacentral:misc_RNA from 1 species